UCAUAAAAGUGUUUAUUUUCUAA
rnacentral:snRNA from 1 species